rnacentral:tRNA from 1 species
UAGCUCAGUCAGUAAAGAAUCUGCCUGCAAUGCAGAAGACCUGGGUUCGAUUCCUGG